AUUGAACGCUGGCGGCAUGCCUUACACAUGCAAGUCGAACGGUAACGCGGGGCAACCUGGCGACGAGUGGCGAACGGGUGAGUAAUAUAUCGGAACGUGCCCAGUAGUGGGGGAUAGCCCGGCGAAAGCCGGAUUAAUACCGCAUGAGACCUGAGGGUGAAAGCGGGGGAUCGCAAGACCUCGCGCUAUUGGAGCGGCCGAUAUCAGAUUAGCUAGUUGGUGGGGUAAAGGCCUACCAAGGCAACGAUCUGUAGUUGGUCUGAGAGGACGACCAGCCACACUGGGACUGAGACACGGCCCAGACUCCUACGGGAGGCAGCAGUGGGGAAUUUUGGACAAUGGGCGCAAGCCUGAUCCAGCAAUGCCGCGUGCAGGAGGAAGGCCUUCGGGUUGUAAACUGCUUUUGUCAGGGAAGAAAUCUUCUGGGUUAAUACCUCGGGAGGAUGACGGUACCUGAAGAAUAAGCACCGGCUAACUACGUGCCAGCAGCAGCCGCCGUAA
rnacentral:rRNA from 1 species